rnacentral:lncRNA from 1 species
CAGAGCCAUGCGCUUCGUAUUUGAGUGCCUAACACAUUUGCUGUAGCGUGGUUUCACUGAAUGGAGAAGAGAAAGAAGCAGGUUUAAGGUCACCACAUCAUUUGAGACCAGUGGUUAAUUCUUCAUUACUCAACUGACAUCAGAGAGAAAUCCUAAAAGAAUUGAACUCAACAAAGCAGCUAUCAUCAAAUCCACACAAAGCCUACAGGAGCUCAAAUAGAAAGGUACCAUAUGGACUUGCCUUGUCUAACAAAAAUUUGAGGAUGGGUUCAGCUUCAUUUUGAGAUACCUGGCAACAACUGUCACCUGUUGGGAUGAUACCAAAAUAGGCAAAGCAUGACUUUACCAUAUCUUUCUCUACAUUGGUGGUUGCUUUCUUCAAACUUUUAAC